rnacentral:lncRNA from 1 species
UGCACGUGAAAGUCUGUGUGCACCUUUUAAGAAUGGGGUCUCUGUUUCCCCCAGUCCUGUGGAGCUCCUGUGCACAAGCCCCACUGGCCUUCAAUGCCAGAUGCUCCGGGGCUCUUUCUCCCCGUGCCAGCUCCCCACACUUGAGAGUUUGAUGGUGUGGCUCAUAACUUUCAUUCCUGUAGGUGAGUCUCUGUGAACCAGUUAAUUUCCAGUCUGUGGGGCUUCCCACCCAGGAGGUAUGGGGUUGUUUAUAUCGCAAAAUCGCCCCUCCUACGUCUUGAUGUGGCCUCCUCUUUUUCUUCUGGAGUAGGGUAUCUUUUUUAAGGUUUCUGGUCCAUUUGGGUGAAGAUUGCUCAGCCUUUGGUUGUGAAUUUUGUUGUUUUUAGGAGAGAAGUUGAGCUCCAGUCCUUCUAUUCCGCCGUCUUAAUCCCAUCCUCACAGACGGAACUUUUUUCCUCCUUGGUGCUUAUUCCAGGCCGAGCACAGAGCUCCUAGAGUUUUUAGAUUAAAAAAACUGGAGCACUACUUACUUGUCAAAGACAUUUUAUUCUGGUACUUAAUAUAAUGGUCUCUUAUCUUAGUGUAACUUUUAUUCCUGAUGAGGUCCUGACUAUGGAGCCUUCUUAUGAGAGGUAACCAUAAUUACAUUUGAUUCUGAACACUUUCUAGAAUGGUGCAUAUCUCAUAAGGGAUCAUUUUGAAUACAUGACAGUUAAAACAAUGAGUUUGCCUUCCAGGGAGUCUCCAUCCUUGAAUUCUCUUAAGUUUGUGCUGUUAGAGAACUGGAAUUCAGAUGAAAGACUUUUAUUUCACAUCACAAAAGACAAGUCUUCUGCUUGAGACUCACAGUUGACUAAUAUUAUGGCAACUUUUCAUAAAGUCAGGCCCUAGAUGCUACUAAUUCUGCAGAAGAGCAUACAGCCCUUAGAAACUAAUGGUUGGAUACUGGGGAUCAGUUGAAGAGUGCUGAAGGGAGAGUGCAAGGGAAGGCAGGCCUGUGAAAGGACACUGGAAAUGGAAAGGGUAGGGUUAGUAGGGGUAACAAAUUAUGGUUGUGGUAGUAAAGAGGAUUAUAUAAUUGCCUUAUCCAGCCCCUAAGUGGCCAAGUGUCCCACUUAGCCCCAUUUCUCCAUCCCAGCACCCUCAUCUCACCAAUUAUCUGCUGUAACACCCACCUAUUCCCACCCCAAACCAUCACUACCAGCAAGUAAUUUCCUAUACUCUCCUUAUGUCUUUUAACAUUGAAAAUUAGAAGUAGAUGAGAAACCAAAUCUGAAAAGAAAAGUCACAUGAUCUUUUCUUUAAAUCAUUAUAUCCAUUGGCCCUUUAAUCUGUACGGCCCCUAUUCCAAGUAUCCUGCACACUUCCUCUUAGAUACUGCACUACUAUGAAUCUAAAUACUUGGCUUUAUUAAGGACUUGCUCAUUCCUCAUUCCUUGCAUAGACUUAGAGUUGACAAAAUGAGAGUUUAAAAUGCAGUAGUGGAGAAUCUUAAUUAUAAAUGAAGGAAAUUGAAGCAUACUACUGUAUGUACAGAUUUACUUUCAGUUUCUUGACUGUUGUCAAGAGUAAUGAGAUUACAUAUCAAGCAUAGAGAAUGGAUAAAAUUUUUAAUAGACCUGCCUAAUUUGCAUUGUUAGGAAUUGUGUAAAGCGGAGAGUUAUGCCAGCAAACCUACAUGUGCUGUCUCUUUAACUGCACCUAUUGCUCCCCACCCCCAGCCCACCUCCAUCCUCUCAAAUCUAUGGUUAAUGCAUCUCAAGUCAUUACAUUAUGAAGUAACAAACAUAGGAAACCCUCAUACUCAUCAGAGUUUAUAAUUUACAGAGCUUAAACUUCCCUUUCAAGGGGGCUAUAAUGCUGGGUAAUAAUAGAAAAGAAACAUUCAUUAAAUCCAAUUUUGGCACAGGAUUUGUUGCUGGGCAAAGCAGUCUUUCAUAAUACCAGUUUGAAUCUAACUGAUGCCCUUAUGUUGCAAAAGAAAGAAGGGACUUCUCAUUCUGGAAAGGUUCUAGAUCAUUGAACCCUACUUCCAAAGUAUCCUACUCAUGCAAUAAAAUUAGCUCAUUAAGCCAUGGAGAUAUUCAAUCAACAGUAUUUAUUGAGGAACUAAUAUAAGCUUGGUAUUAUGAGAAGUAUAAAAGUAGAAAGCAUGGUCCCUUUCCAUGGGGAACCAAACUUAUCAAAAUCAAUUACACACACACAAUAAUAAAUGUAUACUAAAAGGUUGUUCUACAGGUCUGGUAUAUCCUGGAUUUUCCAAAAUCAUCUCAAUUCAUUAUCUCAUCAUGU